rnacentral:rRNA from 1 species
CCUACGGGAGGCAGCAGUGGGGAAUCUUGCGCAAUGGGCGAAAGCCUGACGCAGCCAUGCCGCGUGAAUGAUGAAGGUCUUAGGAUUGUAAAAUUCUUUCACCGGGGACGAUAAUGACGGUACCCGGAGAAGAAGCCCCGGCUAACUUCGUGCCAGCAGCCGCGGUAAUACGAAGGGGGCUAGCGUUGCUCGGAAUUACUGGGCGUAAAGGGAGCGUAGGCGGACAUUUAAGUCAGGGGUGAAAUCCCGGGGCUCAACCUCGGAAUUGCCUUUGAUACUGGGUGUCUUGAGUAUGAGAGAGGUGUGUGGAACUCCGAGUGUAGAGGUGAAAUUCGUAGAUAUUCGGAAGAACACCAGUGGCGAAGGCGACACACUGGCUCAUUACUGACGCUGAGGCUCGAAAGCGUGGGGAGCAAACAGGAUUAGAUACCCUGGUAGUCCACGCCGUAAACGAUGAUUGCUAGUUGUCGGGAUGCAUGCAUUUCGGUGACGCAGCUAACGCAUUAAGCAAAUCCGCCUGGGGAGUACGGUCGCAAGAUUAAAAACUUAAAGGAAAUUGACGG